UACAGAGGUCCCAAGCGUUGUUCGGAUUCACUGGGCGUAAAGGGUGCGCAGGUGGGUUGGCAAGUUUGAUGUGAAAGCCCCGGGCUUAACCCGGGAAUGGCAUUGAAUACUGCUGAUCUGGAGGAUUGGAGGGGGGACUGGAAUUCUUGGUGCAGCAGUGAAAUGCGUAGAUAUCAAGAGGAACACCAGUGGCGAAGGCGAGUCCCUGGACAAUACCUGACACUGAGGCACGAAAGCCAAGGGAGCAAACAGG
rnacentral:rRNA from 1 species